rnacentral:snoRNA from 1 species
GCAUGGCCGAAUACUGUGUUUUUUUAUCAGUAAUUUGCACAGCCAGACACCAUGCAAAAGUAAAGUCUUCCUUUUAAAUGACUGAUGAUAUACUAGUUGUUAUUGGUAUAUCAUUUUUUAAAGUGAGUACAAGU